UACGUAGGGCGCAAGCGUUAUCCGGAAUUAUUGGGCGUAAAGAGCUCGUAGGCGGUUUGUCGCGUCUGCCGUGAAAGUCCGGGGCUCAACUCCGGAUCUGCGGUGGGUACGGGCAGACUAGAGUGAUGUAGGGGAGACUGGAAUUCCUGGUGUAGCGGUGAAAUGCGCAGAUAUCAGGAGGAACACCGGUGGCGAAGGCGGUUCUCUGGGCCUGAUCUGACGCUGAGGAGCGAAAGCGUGGGGAGCGAACAGG
rnacentral:rRNA from 1 species